GACGAACGCUGGCGGCGUGCUUAACACAUGCAAGUCGAACGGAAAGGCCCUGCUUUUGUGGGGUGCUCGAGUGGCGAACGGGUGAGUAACACGUGAGUAACCUGCCCUUGACUUUGGGAUAACUUCAGGAAACUGGGGCUAAUACCGGAUAGGAGCUCCUGCUGCAUGGUGGGGGUUGGAAAGUUUCGGCGGUUGGGGAUGGACUCGCGGCUUAUCAGCUUGUUGGUGGGGUAGUGGCUUACCAAGGCUUUGACGGGUAGCCGGCCUGAGAGGGUGACCGGCCACAUUGGGACUGAGGUACGGCCCAGACUCCUACGGGGGGCAGCAGGGGGGAAUAUUGCACAAUGGGCGGAAGCCUGAUGCAGCAACGCCGCGUGCGGGAUGACGGCCUUCGGGUUGUAAACCGCUUUCGCCUGUGACGAAGCGUGAGUGACGGUAAUGGGUAAAGAAGCACCGGCUAACUACGUGC
rnacentral:rRNA from 1 species